UGUUGAUGAUGAUGAUGAUGAUGAUGAUAAUGAAGAUGAAGAAGGUGAUGAUGAAGCCUUUUUCUUCUUCUUCUUCUUCUUCUUCCUCCUCCUCU
rnacentral:miRNA from 1 species